rnacentral:miRNA from 3 species
CACGGUGCAAGCUGGGAUCGCU